rnacentral:rRNA from 1 species
UACGUAGGGUGCGAGCGUUGUCCGGAAUUAUUGGGCGUAAAGGGCUCGUAGGCGGUUUGUCGCGUCGGGAGUGAAAUCCACUGGCUUAACUGGUGGCUUGCUUUCGAUACGGGCAGACUGGAGGUAUGCAGGGGGAGAACGGAAUUCCUGGUGUAGCGGUGAAAUGCGCAGAUAUCAGGAGGAACACCGGUGGCGAAGGCGGUCUCUGGGCAUGUCCUGACGCUGAGGAGCGAAAGUGUGGGGAGCGAACGGG